UCUCUAGUGGUACAGUGGUUAAGAAUUCUGCUUGCAAUGCAGGGUACACAGGUUCAAUUCCUGGUUGGAGAG
rnacentral:tRNA from 1 species